rnacentral:rRNA from 1 species
ACGAGACCUUCGGGUCUAGUGGCGCACGGGUGCGUAACGCGUGGGAAUCUGCCCUUGGGCUCGGAAUAACUUCGGGAAACUGAAGCUAAUACCGGAUGAUGACGUAAGUCCAAAGAUUUAUCGCCCAAGGAUGAGCCCGCGUAGGAUUAGCUAGUUGGUGAGGUAAAGGCUCACCAAGGCGACGAUCCUUAGCUGGUCUGAGAGGAUGAUCAGCCACACUGGGACUGAGACACGGCCCAGACUCCUACGGGAGGCAGCAGUGGGGAAUAUUGGACAAUGGGCGAAAGCCUGAUCCAGCAAUGCCGCGUGAGUGAUGAAGGCCUUAGGGUUGUAAAGCUCUUUUACCCGGGAUGAUAAUGACAGUACCGGGAGAAUAAGCUCCGGCUAACUCCGUGCCAGCA